rnacentral:rRNA from 1 species
CACGCCGUAAACGAUGGAUGCUAGCCGUCGGCAAGCUUGCUUGUCGGUGGCGCAGCUAACGCAUUAAGCAUCCCGCCUGGGGAGUACGGCCGCAAGGUUAAAACUCAAAGGAAUUGACGGGGGCCCGCACAAGCGGUGGAGCAUGUGGUUUAAUUCGACGCAACGCGAAGAACCUUACCAGCUCUUGACAUGUCCGGUCGGUUUCCAGAAAUGGGAUCCUCCCAGCAAUGGGUCGGAACACAGGUGC